rnacentral:misc_RNA from 1 species
AAGUCGUAACAAGGUUUCCGUAGGUGAACCUGCGGAAGGAUCAUUAAUGAGAUCAUGCCCUUCGGGGUAGACCUCCCACCCUUUGUUUACAAUACCAUUGUUGCUUUGGCGGCCCCGUCGCAAGACAACCGGCUCCGGCUGGUCAGUGGCCGCCAGAGGACUCCAAAACUCAUAUUGUCAUUGUCGUCUGAGUACUAUACAAUAGUUAAAA